GCACCUUUAGCUCAGUUGGUAGAGCAACUGACUCUUAAUCAGUGGGUCCAGAGUUCGAGUCUCUGAAGGUGCACCA
rnacentral:tRNA from 1 species